AAAAAAAAACCCCAAAAAAACCAAAGUGAAAUUUACUCAUAGGACAGCCCAGACUGGAAGGGAUCUCAAAAUAUUGCCUGGUCCAACAUUUUAUCGGAAAUACAGCCUGGAUGAGAUUACCUGUCACUCUGUCCAGCCACAUCUUGAAAACCUCCAGUGAUGGAGACUCCACCACAUCCCUGGGCAAGAUUGUUUCAGUGAAUGAAUAUUCUCACCAUUAAAAUCUUCUGUCCUAUGAAACAUCAAAAAGAGAUCCUAUACUCAGGAAGUAAAUACAAUCAGUACUUUUCUGUUGAAUUUCAAAACAUAGCCCCUUUGCAGUAUGUUGUAGAUCCACAAGAGUAGAGACAAAUUGUUUUUAACUCCAGUGCAAAGCAUAGUGCCAGGGGCAAAGCCUUCAAGUUUCCACAGAAGCAGUAGUAGAAGAGCUGGGUGAAGACUGGCAUGCUGCACCUUCUACAGCCUGAGGGAAGCAGAGAACUUGGGAGGAGAACGAGAGCCAGGCUUCAAAAUGCAUUAAAGGUACUGCAAAGUUGCAAGUUACUCCAGAGCAGCAAACUUCACAGUAUUUAAUUCAACAAACUAGACUGGUAAACAAGAGUAAAAUGCUCUCUUCCUAUAUGUAAGGUGCUUCUUUCUUCAAUUCUCAGAAAGCUUAAGCUGCCCAUGUCAAAGAUAUCCUCACUGGAAGAUGUGUUCCAGCUCUUCCACAGUGAUAAAUUGGGAAUAGGUGAUGUUAUUUUCCUAUUUCAGUUCCUGAAGGAUACUAACAUUUCUGUUCAAGUCCUAGUGUUAUGGAUAUCUACUCUGUGACC